rnacentral:rRNA from 1 species
UCUGCCUUACGGCGGUGCCGCCCCCGAAAUACAUUGGCGGUCUCGCUGCAGCCUCCAUUGCGUAGUAGCUAACACCUCGCAACUGGAACGCGGCGCGGCCAUGCCGUAAAACCCCAACUUCUGAAUGUUGACCUCGGAUCAGGUAGGAAUACCCGCUGAACUUAAGCAUAUCAAUAAAGCGGAAGAAAAGGA